rnacentral:rRNA from 1 species
CAGUAGCCGCGGUAAUACGGAGGGUGCAAGCGUUAAUCGGAAUUACUGGGCGUAAAGCGCACGCAGGCGGUUUGUUAAGUCAGAUGUGAAAUCCCCGAUCUUAACUUGGGAACUGCAUUUGAAACUGGCAAGCUAGAGUCUUGUAGAGGGGGGUAGAAUUCCAGGUGUAGCGGUGAAAUGCGUAGAGAUCUGGAGGAAUACCGGUGGCGAAGGCGGCCCCCUGGACAAGGACUGACGCUCAGGUGCGAAAGCGUGGGGAGCAAACAGGAUUAGAUACCCCAGUAGUCCCUGUCUCUUAUAC